GCCUUCCCUAGACGGACUGUGGCGUCUAGUCCACGGAGCUCCAGGCAAUAACAGGUCUGAGAUGCCCUUAGAUGUUCUGGGCCGCACGCGUGCUACACUGAGCGGGUCAACGGGUGAGGAUGUGCGAGAGCGCUUCCCAAAUCUCUAAAUCCGCUCGUGCUGGGGAUCGAGGCUUGCAAUUUUCCCUCUUGAACGAGGAAUACCUUGUAAGCGCGGGUCAUCAUCCCGUGCUGAAUACGUCCCUGCCCUUUGUACACACCGCCCGUCGCUCCUACCGAUUGAGUGGUCCGGUGAGGCCUUGGGAGGGAAAGAUGGACUGUGUUUCACAGACUAUCUGGCCCAAACUUGGUCAAACCUUAUCACUUAGAGGAAGGAGAAGUCGUAACAAGGUUUCCGUAGGUGAACCUGCGGAAGGAUCAUUCGUAGUGGGAUAGCGGACCGGCUGGGGCACAUCUUUCUGUGUCCCCUGGACCGCUUUUCUAUAUAUCUCGUGAACAUUUGUAUGCCAUAUUUUUUAACUUUUAACCAAACACAUAUGAACAAUAAACUACAAGCAUUCUUUACUGAAUCAGACAAAAACUCGUGACGGUGGAUGUCUUGGCUCCAGCAACGAUGAAGAACGCAGCAAAAUGCGAUACGUAGUGCGAAUUGCAGAACCCGUGAAUCAUCGAAUCUUUGAACGCAAGUUGCGCUCGCGGGUAAUCCUGCGAGCAUGUCUGUUUGAGUGUCCGCACAAAUGCGACUUUUGCUCUUUUAUAAAAGAGCUGCUGAUGGGCGUGCAGUAAAUGCAGUCAAGUCCGUGUCCUCUGAGAUGCGGUCGCCUGAAGAACAGAGCGCUGAUUGUGGUGGAUCUUUUUGUCUCUCCUGCCUUGUGUUUGAGUCCUUUGGGCUCCAUGGGUAGUUCAGGGGGGGCAGUCUUCGGACCGCCUGCCUGUCAAUGGGGCGAAGCGUGCGCUGCGAAGUAAUUAUAUUGAGCAGACCGCCAAGUCUCGUUAAUAGGAACGCGAAUUAAUUCGUAACCUUGAAUGAGCAUGCCGAGGAAGAGGUGUGCAAAACCCACUACAACUAGCCAAAAAACCAUAAACACUCAUUUUGGAUCUCAAAUCAGACAAGCGAG
rnacentral:rRNA from 1 species